rnacentral:lncRNA from 1 species
CUUGAGGUUUAUAUAGGAAAUAAAUUGUGUCCUCUACACUUGACCUCAGAUGGUGGAAAAUCACCUAACUCCCACCUCCCUAAAUCCUUGCACUUAUUUUCAUGUUUCUUUUUAAAACAGUUUGUAUAGAUCAGAGAAGAGGAGUGAUCACUCUUGCCCACAAGCACCUUCUUGAAGAGCGCCUCCCCAGUAGCAGAGGCCACAGCGAAUCCCUGCCUUUCAUUAGGUGGUGUAAUGAACCCAUCUGCCCAGCGGUGCCUCGGAGCAGCAUCCCCUUACCACGCACAUCUGUUCCUGCGAAUCUGCAGCAAGCAACACCGACCUCUAAGGGAUCGCGGGCGCUGGGGGACUUGUUUUUAUGUCAGCACACAUUUCUCCCCUUCUCCCUGGCUAGCUAUCUCCCUUUGUGUGGGAUAUCAGGGAGAUACAAUAUUCCUGAGCAUUUGGGGACAAUUUUGAAGGGCAGUCCCAUUGACAGGCCUCCUGGCGUGGAUGAAAGAUGA